AGUCAUAUGCUUGUCUCAAAGAUUAAGCCAUGCAUGUCUCAGUACAAGCCGAAUUAAGGUGAAACCGCGAAAGGCUCAUUAAAUCAGUUAUGGUUCCUUAGAUCGUACCCACAUUUACUUGGAUAACUGUGGUAAUUCUAGAGCUAAUACAUGCAAACAGAGCUCCGACCGGAGACGGAAGGAGCGCUUUUAUUAGAUCAAAACCAAUCGGCGGCGGGCUCGCUCGUCGUCGUACACCUUGGUGAAUCUGAAUAACUUACUGCUGAUCGCAUGGUCUCGCACCGGCGACGCAUCUUUCAAAUGUCUGCCUUAUCAACUGUCGAUGGUAGGUUCUGCGCCUACCAUGGUUGUAACGGGUAACGGGGAAUCAGGGUUCGAUUCCGGAGAGGGAGCCUGAGAAACGGCUACCACAUCCAAGGAAGGCAGCAGGCGCGCAAAUUACCCACUCCCGGCACGGGGAGGUAGUGACGAAAAAUAACGAUACGGGACUCAUCCGAGGCCCCGUAAUCGGAAUGAGUACAGCCUAAACCCUUUAACGAGGAUCAAUUGGAGGGCAAGUCUGGUGCCAGCAGCCGCGGUAAUUCCAGCUCCAAUAGCGUAU
rnacentral:rRNA from 6 species